rnacentral:lncRNA from 1 species
CUUUUCCCAGUGAGCUGCUAUGCAUAUCCUUUAAAGAUCUCCUCCUGUACAUAUGCCAGGAAUUCACUCAGGUGAAGCUUUCCAGUCUAUUUCACAUUAUGGCACUGUCAGACCUGCAUUAAUCUGAACUGCAGCUGCUCCCAGCUCUACUCAGCAGACCAAACAGCACACUGUGGCUUCUCGACACAUCAUUUCACCACUGUUAAACUUCUGCUGUAAGGAAUACCUUAUCUAGGUGAAGAGUUGCCAGAGCCUCAGAAAAAUUUAUAAGAUUGAAAUAAUCCAUCCUUUGAAUAUUCUACAGAACUUGCCUGAAACCAUUGGUCCCUAGUUUUUUCAAGGGCUAUUUUACUAGUCAGCUCACACUUGGAAUAGUUAUAUAUUCCUGGUGAAUUGAAAUUAUUAUAAUUAUACACUUGAAGACCUUUGCCAAAUACCAAACCGAGACCCCUGCCAUCAUUCAACACAAUUGCACAGACGCUAAUCUCUUCAUGGGAAGGCAUGCAUGCCCCACUGCAUCCCUGCAAGUGCAGAACCAGUCUUCAGCAGCGACGCUUAGCGGCUGAAGUGUGAUACAGUUCUGCCGUCCUUUGAACAGUGCAAUUCCUCAGAGUUCCUGGACAAUUCAGAAUCGGUGAACCUCAAAAGUGAAAUACUACAAUUCCUAAAAAUACAUGUAAAUGGGAUCUCAAUUGAUCUAUUGAAAAAUUAAAAUUCAUUUAUUAUUGUACCCUAAGCUGGGAAAACAGACUGUUUCCUGUACAGUGUACACAUGAUUGCACUCUUGCUGGAUUUUCAUAAUGGCUUCUUUUUUUUUUUUUUCUUGAGACAGAGUCUUGCUCUGUUGCCCAGGCUGGAGUGCAGUAGUGUGAUGUCGGCUCACUGCAACCUCUGCCUCCGGGGUUCAAGCGGUUCUUCUGCCUCAGCCUCCCAAGUAGCUGGACUUCAGGCGCACGCCAUCACACCCGGCUAAUUUUUGUGGGGUUUUUUGUUUGUUUGUUUGUUUGUUUUUUAGAUGGAGUCUCACUCUGUCACCCAGGCUGGAAUGCAGUGGCGUGAUCUCAGCUCACUGCAAGCUCCGCCUCCCGGGUUCAUGCCAUUCUCCUGCCUCAGCCUCCCGAGUAGCUGGGACUAUAGGCACCCACCACCACGCUUGGUUAAUUUUUUGUAUUUUUAGCAGAGACAGGUUUCACCAUAUUGGCCAGGCUGGUCUCAAACUCCUGACCUCAUGAUCCACCCAAGGUGCUGGGAUUACAGGUGUGAGCCACCACGCCCGGCCGAUAACUGCUUCUUAAUGACUUUCUUUGUUCCCUUUCAUUCUCUCUCUUUUCCAAUAUUUUCUCCAUAUUUGUAUAUAAAGUUAAUCUUCCUAAAAUAUCAACUUUGCCCAAAAAGUUUGCAACAGCUUAUUAUUGCCAACAAAACAGAAUCAGCUUCCUCAUCCUGUGAUUAGAUACUCUCCAUAAUCUGACUCCUAAAUCCUGAAGGGAGGUAAGAAAGAAU